UGUACUGUUGCCUGGCAACCUCUCCCCCGCGUCCUGGCCCUGUGCUUUCAGAGUUUGUCUCAGCCUGCAGCUGGUCCUCAAUCAUCCUUAGGGGCCCGAGUCAGUGGCCUCUGUCAACGCUAAGGUCAGGACAGGACAUAGUUCCAGGACAGAUUCCCUAGGACCACCCAGCUAGACUGACCUUUAGUACUCAGGAUCUGACGGAAGUGGAAGCUGAGGACAGGCUGUGACUGGCUUUUGCUGGGAAGAGGCGGGGCCUGGGUGGGCGGAGCCUCUUGUGACCCACAGAACGCCUGCCCGGUUUGAAACUGGGAUGUCCCACCUACAGCCAGAAGCAGGAAGAAGCUUCUUGAUGGUGACUGGGCCAGACACUGAGCUGAGUACAGGUCUGAUGUAGCUACUGAGGAAUCCCAGAUGGGAUGUGACGAGCUGCUUCAAGCUCCUGCUGCCGCCUUUGAUGGAAUGACUGUACCUUGGACUGUGAGCUAGAUAAAUCUUCCCACCUUAAGUCUCUUUUUGUCAAGGUAUCUUAUGACAGCACCGGGGGAUAAAACCCAAGACAGAAGCUGAAGACUGGUGUUCCUUAGAGAAGUUACAUAAUUUGUUUUCCUGCUUGAAGUCACCACCCAGUUUACAUCUCCCCACAUAGUCAGAACACUAACCUUUUACAGAAUGUCUCAUGCUUCAUCCUGUUCGCCGAUAAUGCUCUCACAUUUGUCUACCACAGGAACAGCCACAGGGAUUGUGGAAAUGUUCCCUGUGACCAGCUCCCACGGCAGAAUGGAAGAGAAGAGGCUGUUUGUUGUUGUAAAAAUAUAAAAUAAAACAAGUAUUGUUGGUCUUUUAUCCCGCUAGGCCUGCACCGCGGUGCCCCAAGAUAUCUGCUAGAUAUCUUGGCAGAAACACAUCCCAACUCCUCAGCGGCCCAGUGUCUCCUGCCGCCACACACUUUCCUUCACUCAAACCCUCACAUAAAAGAACACAUAACACAAUAAUCUUAGAUCCAAUUGAUAAGAUAUAAUUGCCCACUUAAACAUACAAACCCUGGUACCAUUCAUCCCUUAGGAACAUUGAUAACAACCUGUAAAUACACAGAGCAGAAUCUUAACACCACCUGCCAUGGCUUCACCCCCCUCCCGCCUUGUCUCUUCCUUUCUCCUCAGUCUCCUCCUCUUCCUUCAAACUUCUCUCCUGCCCAUCCUUCCUUCAUCUCCAAUGACAGGCCUCCUUCUAUCCUGUACCUGCCCUUCACCGGAACUUUACAAAUUCAAUGGGGAGGUUCUGGUGAAGUCGCCUUAUUCCUGAGUACGGAGUCUAGGGCACUGUCCUUGGGGCAGUGGAAUUAGCAUCAAAAUACAGAUAACUCCAGGGCAAACCACAACAACUGUUCAGCUAGGUUCUGCAGGAAGAGCUGUUGUCAACCAGUGUGGAUUCUGGGCAAGUGUGGAGGCUCCGAGUGGAAGAGAAUUAGAGGCGGGAAAUGGUGUGAUGUCUGAAAAAGAAAAACUUUAAUGUAAGAGUGAUGAGUCCUGAGCUCUAGGGUGUGGGUGAUGUAGUAGAGUCAAAGCCAGAACCCCCAAAAAAGAGUGUGAGGCUAGUCACUGGCAAGGCAAGCGCCCAGGUAAGAGGUGAUAAGAGUUCUAGAGCAAUGGGUAGGAGAAGGGGCAGACUUACUUGCUCCUGGAACUGGCUUGAACGGUGAUGCUCUGUAGCCACAGACUGUCGGGCUGGUGCUUCUUCAGAAGCCCUUUCUGUCUGAUGGCUUCCAUUCCUGUUGCUAUGGAACCCCACUCUCCAGUCCCAUUCAUUACAGGACUAGUCCCCAUUCCUUAGGACUAGAGGUCUGGCUGUGCUUCGUCUUUUUGUUUCUAGCACUUGGAAUUGAGUGAGCAAAUGUGCUUACGGGAACUGUCAAGUGUGCUAUGCUGGAUGGAGAGAGGAUGAGAGAGCUGACAGUUUGCAUCAGGCUUCUAAGAGCCAUCUGUCCUGAAGAGCAAGUGUUACAGUUACAAGCCACUUCCGGGGGGGGGGGGGUUAUGAAUCUUACACUUGAUAGAUUAGGGUUCUUCAUUUUGCUCUGCUUCUUUGUUUAACUGGUGAUGUUUGUUGUUUUAGAGGAUGCUAUCUCAUUCUGUGGCCCCGGCUAACCCAAAGUUCACUUCGUGGCCCAGGUUGUCCUCUAGCUUGAGGUGACCCUAUUGCUUUGGGAGCUCAGGUUGCAGGUGUGUGCCCCCAAACUCACCUCGGAUUGGUCAGAAGACCUAAGUGACCCUGGAAAGCCAGUCACCUGGCAGCAAAGAGUCUGAUUUUUCUUUCUUCCAGGCACAUGGAAGAUUUCACUUUUUUGUGGCCUGGUAACUUGAUAUGGCCAAUGUGGUAUUCAGAGAAGCAACGUGAACAAGAACCUUCCAGAACCCAGUAUGACUCACUGAAUACGCCCCCCACCCCACCCAGCAGCUAGCCAAUGGAGGCCCACAUGAACAGUCACAGAAACCCAGUUCACCUUUGAUUUAUAAAGGAGUAAACAAUAAACCUGGCUGAUAAGGGGUCAACAUUUUUGGUGGGUGUGUUGCCUCGGUAUAACAUGCGCAGCCACUCAGACCACCUGCUCUUUAUUUGAUGCCAUGCCAAAAAUCUAAGGACCCUGUGGGUGGAUCCGUGUGGAUCAAGGUCGCUGUUAGAUUUUUAAGGGUCAAUGCCUGCCUGCGUUCGCAGUGGUUCACAUGCGCAGAGACUUUUGAAAGCAUUAGUGAGCUGUAUUUCAAGGAUGAUUUUACUUUUAUUGAGCCUAAAUCCCCUGCGUGGGACUCCGGUUUUGUGGUUUACGUCUUCAAUAAAAAUGGGGGAGCAUCUGGCCAUCUUCCACUGUGUCAUAAAUCUGAGGCUCAGAUUAAUAGAAGUCAUCGCUACACUUUUACUCAGGCUGCUCCCUACUGUGCAAACAAUCCUAACUCCUCGCUUCUUCCCAUCAAUUAUAUCAUACAAGCUUAGAAGAGAUUGGGGGGAAAAAUCCCCAGCCUCAUGCAGAAUGAAACAAACUACCUUUGCCUGUGGAGAUCAACUGCUACAGACAAAUCCACCAGAAUCCAGGAGCCAAACCACAGUCAGCCAGUCAAGCCCUCAGCUGCGUGAGCCAGGGAGUUUGACAACUUUGGUUUCGAGAUUCAGAGAAGAAGAAGUCAGAAGGAUUUGUCCAGGUCUCUUGUCUCCUCAAGAAGAAUUACAGAAUCAUGCUUCAUUUCUCUCUCCUAACCAUUUGUCCUUACAGGGAAAGAAACCCUUAAGCUAAAAAUUCUUGUCACUUGGAUUCUCCUGUGCUCUCUCUAGUCCAACUCGCCGCUGUACAGGAAAAAGUAUUUUCAGGAUCUCAGGUUCAUGUGUCUGCAGGAGACAAGAGUAUCCCUUGAUAUUUCUGUGCUGAAAUGAUGGCAUGGAAAAUAUUAGCAGCAGCCACAAUCGCAGUCCCAAGAAACACUUGCUGAGCUGUGUGUGACAGGCAUACAUAUGACUUAAUGUAAAUGUUCUGUUUGUUCCCAUUUCUUUAGUCAAGAACAUGCAGUCAAAAGGGGCUGAGACUUGUCAGGGUCUGGGGAAGACCUGAGCCCUUAAAGCUACCCCACUUCACUGCCCUGACUCCCAGGUGACUCCUUGUGGCAGACAAUGCCCGUUUCGAACUUUUGCUGUCAGCAGUCAUCCUGGGAAAUUCCACGGAAGCUUAAGCUCCAUUUCCACCCCCACCCCAGGAAUGUAAAGCAGGCUGCUCCGUGCAGUCACAGACUGGUCUAACAUCCCCUCCAUAGGGAAGUGUCCCUAACUUCAUUAAGAAUGCUAGGUGAUUCCAUCAAUGUCUUUCUUUAGAGACGUUGCUGUGGGUCAAGAGACUUCUAUGCUAGGAAAGGGCAGCAGGAACUCCUGUGCCGAAUGGGAGACCCUGCCUGGUGUGGAGCAGCACUGCCCUCUUGUGGGCUGAAUGGGUGUGACUAGCCAGUGCCCUGGCAGAAAUGGGCUAUAGGGCAUGAGGUCAGUGCUCAGGUAUUCUUGUUUUUCUUGCAUUUACUUAGUGCUAACCGAGCACCUCCUGUGUUUGCAUACCUAGUAUGCUAAUUCUGGCUUAAUUGCUAUGAAGAGACGCCAUGACCGAGGCUACUCUUAUAAAGGCAAACAUUUAAUUGGGACUGGCUUACAGUUUCAGAGGUCCAGUCCAUGAUCAACCAUGGCAAGAACAUGUCAGUGUCCAGGCAGCUAGGAGGAGGGUCUCUAAGCCCACCACUACAGUGACACACUUUCUUCAACAGGGUCACACCUCCUCUAAUAGUGCCACUCCCUGGGCCUGGCAUACUUAAACCACCACACCUAGCAAGGCUCUUUCUGCUACCGCGGCUUUGCUGAGAUUGCUUCUCUGGAUAGUGAACUAAAGCCAACAGUUCAGGAUGUUGAGAGAUUUAACCGUCAUUAAUUGCUUAUUUGAGGUACAAGGUCAUUCAUCUAAAGGUGACUGUUCACACUCAGAAAACCGAAGACACUUCGACUUCGUCCACUGGAAUUUUCUCUGCCAUUGAGAUGUGUGGGACAAAGGCACUCACAGAAUUGCAAGACGCCAUAGUCACACACAGUCCUGAUGCGGGUCCUGUUUCAGUUGCCAUGGGGUGGUUAGAGAUAGAUGUUCCAGUGAGCACUGUCUCUUCACUUUGUGGAAGAAGCUCAAUACUACGUUAGGAGCACGUGGCAGAAACUUUAAUCUCUGUGUUGUUAGCUCCAGAUGCCUGUCCUCUCCUGUCUUUUGUCGGUGAAUGUCUGCAAUGCCGGCAUCUUGCUUACAUAUGGCCUGAAGUUACUUAGCCCAGCAUCAUGUCACCGCAGCCACUGCCACAUUCUAAGGACCCCUUUCUAGGGGCUCAAACAGGACAGAAGAAACGCUCAGGAGAUGCUUUCCCAUCCUCCCAACAGCCAACAACAGAGGCCCUCAGGGAUACUUAUGGACGCACUUGCCUCGGAUAAUUGUGUAUUUUCUAACCACAUUGUCUUUAUCUUUAUUAUUCAUUAUCCUAUUUUUAAACCACUUUGCUGGGCCGUGCCACACACUCCUGCUCCAUAACGCAUUGAAGCAGGCGUUCCCCUGCACAUGGUAUUCACACUUAUUCAAGUCGCCUGGCCACACCAUCUUAGAUCGUUACUUCCCUUUACAUUUUGUAGGAGGAUACUCUCCUCGGUUGUUAAAGUUCCCGAAUUGCUCCUCCGUGAUUCAUAAACACCAGAGCAGUUGGCAUUCUAACUGGCAACUCGUGAGAACGCCAGGGUCCUCACUGCCGCGGAGGUUCAGACAAUGAACGGUCUGAAAAUGCACACAGGAUAAAUGAACCAUUCUGCAUGGGUUUAGACGGAAACCUCUGUUUCUCCCCACACGGGCGCUUUCCGGAUCUCUCUAGAAGUAAGAGAGAACAGCAUGUUCUCACAGGCACUUCCUCCCUCUCUGAACAGUCUACACUAUCUGUGCCAUUGGGGCCUUUAAACCGGGGCUUCUUAACCUACGGUCUGAGAGUGUGUAGAUACAGUUGAGGGUCUGUGAGCUUGGUUAUAAUUAUAGAUGAUAAAAUCAUCCAAAUUUCCAUCCUUUUAACAACAUAACUACUGCUUAAGGUCUUCUCAAGCAUCACUGAAAUGGAGCACUGUAUUUUAGAGUUAAUGCCAGUCAUGGCCCACUGCACGGCCAUGACGUCGCGUAAGCACAGCAGCAGCUUGGCUCCCAGUGGUCAUUAGGCAUGCUGCUAAAACUUGCAUUUUAAUGUGCUAAUUAGGAAAUUUAUGUGUUACCGUCUUGCAAACUCCAUUUAAAAUAUUUAGUAAUUGUAAAGCAGUAUGGAUACUUCCCCAUUAGUUCCAGGUAUUUUAGUUUUUAAAUGAAUAUAUUAAAAAUACCUUUCCAAGAAAAGGCGUAGAUGUAUAUCACUUGAUGUCCAGAGGGUCAAGGCAGGAACUGUUUAGGACGCCUUUCUUCUUAUUACAGGUGAAAUCUAAAUAAUAAAUGUCUAUAGGGUUGAGCCUGAUACCCUUCCUCUUGGAGUUUAUUGGCCUAUACAAUCCCAAUGUUCUAUUGUGGAAAGUAAAGAAAGGUGAGCAGUAACUUGAUAGGAGACUUGGCCCAUACUAGGUUUGUAAGGGGCCAAGGUCAGGAACACCAGCACCAGCAGUCAACUGCAUUGAUAUCACACAGCUGUAAGAAAGUCCCACCACUUCUAGAACAUUCCUCUCUAGAAUCUGUAACUCUGGUCCAACUAUGAGAGAACAAAACAGAAGUCCAAAAGGAAAGUCAUGCUAUGGAUCUCUAACCAAUGUCUUCACCGAUGGCAAAUUCAUCAAAAGCAAGAAUAAAAAAAACCUGAGAAACCACCACACACGGAGGGCUGAUUCAAUUUGACAUCAUGCACUGACAUCCACCCUGACACACUGGUGGACAAGAUGGUGACUGUCCCCCAAAACCUAGAGUUUAUGGUAUCAGUAUUGCAGCCACAUAGUUUUCUAUUUUCCAAAACAUUCCCUGGUUUAUGUGAGCAUUAGAAAGAUCUGGGUGACCUGCUAGAAAACUGCUCUAUUAUUGAAACGUCUGUAAGUCUAUUCCAAAAUUAAAGUUGGGAUGGCGGGAAGAACCCUCAGGCUUCUGGUCCGAAACUAGUAUCUCUCACAAUUUUGACUUGUUCAUUCAUCCUUUAUUCAUUUAACAUUAAUCAUCCCUGGGGCACAUCGAACACUGGGCUGCAGGGAGAAACCCCUGCUGAGAAGAUCUGAGAAUGAUGGGCCCAAGGAGACUAUGAUCUUCCUUGCCAACCUGGAAGAGGUGGAGUUAGAAUGUUAGGGAGUGAAUUCUUCAAAGAGAUUUGCACCCACUCGACACAGCAGGAGAGAAAGAAGAGAUGUAGGAAAUUGCAAGUGAACAGGGCAGGACACUGUGGGCGGAGAGAAAGAAAGGGGAUUCUGGGUAGUGUAGUCUUCAGUGAACCAAACCAUUGGCCUGUCUUCAGAUUACCCAGUAUAAGGAAGCCCCAGAGUUGGAAACUGUCAUGUCCCUGCUUCAAAUCCUUAGCAGAGCUGCUCUGUUCCAAAUCACUUCCUGUGACAUCCUAGAAGAAAGUGGGGUCAAUAGAGUAUAGUCAACGUCAAUUUUGGAAUUCUCUGCUAUAUUUAUAGCUACCUCUUAGAACAAACAUUGUAAAUUAAUGUAAAUUGAGUAGUUUAUAACAAACCUUUUUGUUGUUGUUUUAUGAUUCUGGAGGCUGGAAGCAUAUUAUCAAGGCCAAAGAAGAUGGAGACUUGUGAGAAAGUCACUUCCUGGUCUAUAGGGACCUCAGUGUCACAACCCCUGCUCACUCCAGCCUCCCUGAGUAUCCUGACCUUCACCAACGACCAUUUGGAAUUGAGUUAACUUCCAGGACUUUGGCAGGUGACCUCGAACAAUGACCGCUGUAAUGUUGGCACUUGCUUUCUUGGAUUCUGGUUUCCAGGCUGCAGUGGUAGCUCAGGCUGGAUGCUAUCAAAAGAUUCUAGAAUCAGAAUAAAGUCUUCAGCCUAUAAUGGGCUAACCUCUUCCCAGGUCUGAGCAUUGGUCACUGUCCUCUGCUUAGAGACACUGUGUUCUCUCUUACAGUCAUGCUGACUGCUGGCUUGUGCUGAAAGUUCAGUCUUGGGCUGGUGACAUUACUGAAAGGUGAUUGAUCAUGCCAAUGUCAUUAAUGGUUUAAUUAAUUUAAUGAAUAAAUUAAUUUUUACAGUACAGCAGUAUGAAUUAGAAAUCAUGUAAUGAGUGAACAGUUUGCUACUACAGAUUUGGGGGUUUUUUUGGCUUGGAGAAGAUUUGACUGUUUCUAUCACAUUCCUCACUCCUACAGAAUGAUUAUCUUAACUUUUUCAAGCAUAAAAAAAGAAUAUUUGAAAAUGCAAAAGACUAUGUAAUGUCAGUGCUUCUGAUGAAUCUGUGUAUCUUCUGUGCAACUCCAUGAUAAUUGUCUAGGUAGAAUAUAUUUGCUAAGAACACCUUGAACACUUCGUGUGAGACUGAUAACUUGAUAUUAUUGUAGGAACAGGAGCACAAAGGCUAUCUGGUCUACUUUCUUCUUAAUUAAACACCACUUGUGUACUUAAGACCAUAGACCAGAAAACGAGGCUGUUCAGCCACUUCGUACCUUCUCAAAAUAAUUAAGCAAUAGGCCAGGUGUUUCCAAUGACAUUCUGCUGGGAUCUGGUCAGUCAUUCAUAAACCUGCUUUGAGGCAGAUGCUGCGUAUGGAGGUCGUGGGUCAACUCCGAGAAUAAGAUAGAUUCAGAAAGUGCCAUGGAAGAGUCUGGAGUUCAGUAGGAAAGAGAAACAUCAAGUCAUGCAUGAAACAUAAAGGGUCUUGGGAUGGCCUCAGAAGGUAUCUUAAAGGUGCUUUAGAUCAUCCAUUUAACACCAGACACUGUGCCGGAAACAAACUUCGGUGCCUUCUUGGACUAGGUGGGGUCUUGGGACUGCUUGAAAUUUUUUUUAGAGUUUCUAUCACUGUGAUGAAACACCAUGACCAAAAAAGCAAAAUGGGGAGGAAAGGGUUUAUUUGGCUUAUACUUCCAGACCAUAGUCCAACACAGGAGGAAGUCAGGACAGGAACUCAGGCAGAGCUGGAACCUGGAGGCAGGAGCUGAUGCAGAAGGCAUGGAAGGCUUACUGGCUUGCUACCCAUGGCUCGCUCAACCUGCUUUCUUAUAGAAUCCAGGACCACUAGCCCAGGGAUGGCACCACCCACAAUGGGCUGGGCCCUUCCCCAUUAAUUGCUAAUUGAGAAAAUGUGAUCUCAUGGAGGCAUUUUUCUCAGCUGAGGGUCCUUCCUCUCUGAUGACUCUAACUCCUGUCAAGUUGACAUACAAAACUAACCAGUACAAAGAUGCUGGUGGUAGGAAGCAGGUCGCUGGGGUGACAGCAGCUACAUACAACUGCAAAGAAGCAUCUUGACAUUUUAGCAACCGGAGAAGAUCAGACUGGAAGGUGCCAGCUACGUGGUCAGGGCAGAGUCUGGAUCAGGUGACAGCGUGGGCUUUCAUGAUAGAACUUAAGCUGAAAGCUUAAGUCCAGGACCUGUUUAUGCACUGAGGGAUUGAUGUGAUGUCUGUGAUACAACAAGAAGCAAGUAGACAUAUAAGACCCUAGAUUAGGGAUGAAAGCCAGGCUCAGUCAAAGAAAUACAAUCAUUGCUGACACGGGGAAUGAAGGAGAAGAGAGUGUGACAGAAACAAGCUUGGAGAACACACUGAUUUCAUUUCUGUGUCUGUGAUAAAACUCCACCCUGACCAAAACAACUUAGGGGAGACAAGGUUUAUUUUGGCUCCAAUUACAGACCAUCGUUGCUGAAAGUCAAGGCCAGAACUUGAAGCAACCGGUCCCCAGUCAGGAGUAGAAAGGAAAUGACGCAUACACACAUGCUCAGCCUAAUUUCUUCAGCAGCCCAUGAAAGCCCAGAUUCAGGCCGGGCUUUACCACCUCACUCAACAUAAUUAAGAAAAAUACCGAAUUCUCAUUGGCUGAUGUAAUCUUGAUGAAUCUUCAUUGAGAGUCUCUUCUCAGGUGAGUCAGCCUAGGUCCUGACAGCAAUAUUAGAGAGGGUUGACCCUGGGUGGGAUGCAGGCCUGUUAAUCCAAGACUCAAAAGACUGAAGCAGGGGGAUGAACUUAAGUCCAGCGUGGGCUACAGAUUUAGAUCUUGUAUAAAUGAAUGAAUGAAUGAAUGAGAAGGUUGAAGGGUGGAAUCAGUUUGAUGGAGAUUGAAUUUCUACAACUGUGUGGAAUAGCUGGUUGGAGAAGAAAUUCAAUGAAAUUUUAAUAAACCUCAGUUCAUAUUCAGUUGCAAGUCUUCUCCACCUUAGAAGAUUGAGGGAAGGAGCCGGCAGAGAAGGGUUCCUGGGCCAAUGGUGUCCUUUGCCAAUGGGGACUGUAUUCAUAGUCUAAACCUCAAAUCUCCUCCAUGGUGUCCACAGGUAUCUUAGACUCAAAGUUUCCAAGUCUGGCACCCUGAGCCAGUCUCUCCUUUAUUUUACAGUGUAAAUGGAAACUCCAUUCAUCCUUCAAGGAAAAAGCAAACAUCUAAUCAAUGUCUGUGGACUGCGCCAUCCAGCUCCUGGUGACCUCUGGGCUUCUUGAGUUUUUAUUCCCCACCCCAGGUCAUCAGUUGUUGUUUGAUCUCACCAACAUGGCCACCUUGCUUCUCUUCAAAGAUGGUACUAGAUCCGCUCUUCCUUCAGAUCAGUGUUCCAUGCCUGCUACCCUGACUAAAGGGCACACAGCCUCUCAACUUCAGGUUUGUUGUAAUCUGUAGAACUGAUCCAUUACUUGGCAAAAUAAUAAGUUAAGUAAUGCCACCGUAACAAGUCCCCAAAUUAAGUAGAUUACAAUAUAGAGGUUAUGCAGCUUUUGCUGGUUCCCGAGAGCCAAUUGUUUGAUUUUCAGGAAUUUAUGAACUAGUUGUUAUA